GGAUGACUUGUGGCUGGGGGUGAAAGGCCAAUCAAACCGGGAGAUAGCUGGUUCUCCCCGAAAUCUAUUUAGGUAGAGCCUUAUGUGAAUACCUUCGGGGGUAGAGCACUGUUUCGGCUAGGGGUCCAUCCCGGAUUACCAACCCGAUGCAAACUGCGAAUACCGAAGAGUAAUGCAUAGGAGACACACGGUGGGUGCUAACGUCCAUCGUGGAGAGGGAAACAACCCAGACCGCCAGCUAAGGUCCCAAAGUCUAUAUUAAGUGGGAAACGAAGUGGGAAGGCUUAGACAGCUAGGAUGUUGGCUUAGAAGCAGCCAUCAUUUAAAGAAAGCGUAAUAGCUCACUAGUCGAGUCGGCCUGCGCGGAAGAUGUAACGGGGCUAAAAUAUAGCACCGAAGCUGCGGCAUCAGACGUAUCACUAAUACGCCUUACGAUUAACAACAUCGAAUGAAGUGAAACGGAAAGAGAUGUUGGUCAAGCAACCCGAACGUUGAGUCGGAAAGUAAUCGAAGAGAGGAUUAUUAGUGAUACGUCUGUUGGGUAGGGGAGCGUUGUGUAAGCGGAUGAAGGUGAAUCGAGAGGUUUGCUGGACGUAUCACAAGUGCGAAUGCUGACAUAAGUAACGAUAAAACGAGUGAAAAACUCGUUCGCCGGAAGACCAAGGGUUCCUGUCCAACGUUAAUCGGGGCAGGGUGAGUCGGCCCCUAAGGCGAGGCUGAAAAGCGUAGUCGAUGGGAAACGGGUUAAUAUUCCCGUACUUGGUAAAGCUGCGAUGUGGGGACGGAGAAGGUUAGGUUAGCAGACUGUUGGAUGUCUGUUUAAGUUGGUAGGUGGGGAGUUUAGGCAAAUCCGGACUUCCAUAACACUGAGAGAUGAUGACGAGUUUCUACGGAAAUGAAGUAACUGAUACCACGCUUCCAGGAAAAGCCACUAAGCGAAAGGCUUUACUAAACCGUACUGAAAACCGACACAGGUGGUCAGGUAGAGAAUACUCAGGCGCUUGAGAGAACUCGGGUGAAGGAACUAGGCAAAAUAGCACCGUAACUUCGGGAGAAGGUGCGCUGGCGUAGGUUGUAGGAGUAUACCUCCGAAGGCUGAACCAGUCGAAGAUACCAGCUGGCUGCAACUGUUUAUUAAAAACACAGCACUCUGCAAACACGAAAGUGGACGUAUAGGGUGUGAUGCCUGCCCGGUGCUGGAAGGUUAAUUGAUGGUGUUAUCGAAAGAGAAGCUCCUGAUCGAAGCCCCAGUAAACGGCGGCCGUAACUAUAACGGUCCUAAGGUAGCGAAAUUCCUUGUCGGGUAAGUUCCGACCUGCACGAAUGGCAUAAUGAUGGCCAGGCUGUCUCCACCCGAGACUCAGUGAAAUUGAAAUCGCCGUGAAGAUGCGGUGUACCCGCGGCUAGACGGAAAGACCCCGUGAACCUUUACUAUAGCUUGACACUGAACAUUGAAUUUUGAUGUGUAGGAUAGGUGGGAGCCUAAGAAGCAGUCACGCCAGUGAUUGUGGAGGCGUCCUUGAAAUACCACCCUUUAACGUUUGAUGUUCUAACGAAGAUUGCUAAACGCGGUCUCGGACAGUGUCUGGUGGGUAGUUUGACUGGGGCGGUCUCCUCCCAAAGAGUAACGGAGGAGCACGAAGGUUUGCUAAUCACGGUCGGACAUCGUGAGGUUAGUGCAAUGGUAUAAGCAAGCUUAACUGCGAGACAGACAAGUCGAGCAGGUGCGAAAGCAGGUCAUAGUGAUCCGGUGGUUCUGAAUGGAAGGGCCAUCGCUCAACGGAUAAAAGGUACUCCGGGGAUAACAGGCUGAUACCGCCCAAGAGUUCAUAUCGACGGCGGUGUUUGGCACCUCGAUGUCGGCUCAUCACAUCCUGGGGCUGAAGUAGGUCCCAAGGGUAUGGCUGUUCGCCAUUUAAAGUGGUACGCGAGCUGGGUUUAGAACGUCGUGAGACAGUUCGGUCCCUAUCUGCCGUGGGCGUUGGAGAAUUGAGAGGGGCUGCUCCUAGUACGAGAGGACCGGAGUGGACGCAUCACUGGUGU
rnacentral:rRNA from 1 species